rnacentral:tRNA from 1 species
AGAGUUUAAAUUUAAAUAUUUCUUUUACACAGAAAAGUUUCGUAAAGAGGCUCUG